UAGGCCUAACACAUGCAAGUCGAACGGCAGCACGGACUUCGGUCUGGUGGCGAGUGGCGAACGGGUGAGUAAUGUAUCGGAACGUGCCCAGUAGCGGGGGAUAACUACGCGAAAGCGUAGCUAAUACCGCAUACGCCCUACGGGGGAAAGCAGGGGAUCGCAAGACCUUGCACUAUUGGAGCGGCCGAUAUCGGAUUAGCUAGUUGGUGGGGUAACGGCUCACCAAGGCGACGAUCCGUAGCUGGUUUGACAGGACGACCAGCCACACUGGGACUGAGACACGGCCCAGACUCCUACGGGAGGCAGCAGUGGGGAAUUUUGGACAAUGGGGGAAACCCUGAUCCAGCCAUCCCGCGUGUGCGAUGAAGGCCUUCGGGUUGUAAAGCACUUUUGGCAGGAAAGAAACGUCAUGGGUUAAUACCCCGUGAAACUGACGGUACCUGCAGAAUAAGCACCGGCUAACUACGUGCCAGCAGCCGCGGUAUACGUAGGGUGCAAGCGUUAAUCGGAAUUACUGGGCGUAAAGCGUGCGCAGGCGGUUCGGAAAGAAAGAUGUGAAAUCCCAGAGCUUAACUUUGGAACUGCAUUUUUAACUACCGGGCUAGAGUGUGUCAGAGGGAGGUGGAAUUCCGCGUGUAGCAGUGAAAUGCGUAGAUAUGCGGAGGAACACCGAUGGCGAAGGCAGCCUCC
rnacentral:rRNA from 1 species